GGAUUGUGUCUCAGUGGUAGAGCGCUUGCCUAGCAUGCAUGGGGCACUGGGUUUGGUCCCCGGCACCA
rnacentral:tRNA from 1 species